rnacentral:rRNA from 1 species
CCUACGGGAGGCAGCAGUGAGGAAUAUUGGUCAAUGGACGGAAGUCUGAACCAGCCAUGCCGCGUGCAGGAAGACGGCUCUAUGAGUUGUAAACUGCUUUUGUACAAGGGUAAACCUGAAUACGUGUAUUCAGCUGAAAGUACUCUACGAAUAAGGAUCGGCUAACUCCGUGCCAGCAGCCGCGGUAAUACGGAGGAUCCAAGCGUUAUCCGGAUUUAUUGGGUUUAAAGGGUGCGUAGGCGGAUUGAUAAGUUAGAGGUGAAAUGUGCGAGCUUAACUCGGGAACUGCCUAUAAUACUGUUGAUCUAGAGAGUAAAUGCGGUAGGCGGAAUGUAUGGUGUAGCGGUGAAAUGCUUAGAGAUCAUACAGAACACCGAUUGCGAAGGCAGCUUUACAGGCUAUUACUGACGCUGAGGCACGAAAGCGUGGGGAGCGAACAGGAUUAGAUACCCCUGUAGUC